AUUGAACGCUGGCGGCAUGCCUAACACAUGCAAGUCGAACGGCAGCACGGCAGUAGCAAUACUGUGGGUGGCGAGUGGCGGACGGGUGAGGAAUACGUCGGAAUCUGCCCAGUCGUGGGGGAUAACUAGCCGAAAGGUUAGCUAAUACCGCAUACGACCGAGAGGUGAAAGCGGGGGACCGCAAGGCCUCGCGCGAUUGGAUAAGCCGACGUCGGAUUAGCUAGUUGGUGGGGUAAAGGCCCACCAAGGCGACGAUCCGUAGCUGGUCUGAGAGGAUGAUCAGCCACACUGGAACUGAGACACGGUCCAGACUCCUACGGGAGGCAGCAGUGGGGAAUAUUGGACAAUGGGCGCAAGCCUGAUCCAGCAAUGCCGCGUGUGUGAAGAAGGCC
rnacentral:rRNA from 1 species